GAGAAUUUGGGGUGAGCCAUCCAUUUCUUCCAGCACUUAAAUUUCGGCUGAGCUGCUUCCCUGGUUUCUGUUAAGAACACAGCCGUCAAUCUAACCGUGGCUCUUCUGAGGGUCAUCUGUCCCCCAGUUGCUCUCAGGUCUCCUCUUCAUCGGUGGUUUUCAGCCGUUUGAUCAUGAAGGGAUAGGUGUGGUUUUCUUUGUGUUCACAGAGCUACUGACUCCGUGGGUGGCACCUUUUAAUAGUUGUGGGAAAGUCUCAGGCAUUAUCUUCACAAAUGUUGUUUCUGCCCAGUUUUCUUAUAAAAGACCUUUUCAUUGUUAUCUCUGACUCCUACCCAGUCUUCUAACUUCUUUUUUUUUCUUUUUGGUAAUGUCUCCAGGCUUCCUUGUGGGUACUUUCUUUUGACCUAACUUCUGGGCCACUGAAUUCUUUCUUCAGCUAUGUCUAAUUUAACCUUCCUUUGAGAACUUAACUUUGAGUCUUACGUUUUUCAGUUUUAGAAUUUUCAUCUGGUUCUUUUUUAUUUUCUAGUUCUGUGCCAAAAGUCUCAAUCUGGUCUUUCAUCUCCUUAAGCACAGUAAGCAUAGUUGUUUUAAGGUCUGCAUCUGAGACCUACAGCCCCUGUAACUGUGUCUUUUUUAAAAGUCUGUUGUUUUCAUUAGUUUUAGCUCAUGUGCUCAUCUGUUCUCCGCUGCACACGGAACAGAGAACUUACAACACAGCUCGUGAGAACUGCUGGAGCGCUGGAUGAUGUCACCCUACAGAGGCCUGAACUUGCUUCUGUCAGGUACCUGGAGACAGGGGCACUCUGGGAUUAUCUUAAGCAGAUACUGAAACUGAGGCUCAGGAACACAUACCUAACCUUCCCUGUUACUACUGCCUACCCAACAACUCGUAUUUUCCCUGUUUAUAGAUGAAGAAAUCACCUUCUGAGAGGUUGAGAGGCUUGUUCAUGAUCAUGUGACUCCUAAGUAGGUGAACAGGAUGUGAAUCAACCUCAUUCGACACCAAAGUUUAGAUUCUGAAACACUGCCACACGCUAGCUUUAAAAACCUUUUAAACCACUUCACACCUGUGGGCAUAGCUAUCACCAAAAGGACGUAGCUGAGGCCGUGGAGAACCCCAAACU
rnacentral:lncRNA from 1 species